rnacentral:rRNA from 1 species
AUACGGAGGAUCCGAGCGUUAUCCGGAUUUAUUGGGUUUAAAGGGUGCGCAGGCGGGAUGUUAAGUCGGCGGUGAAAUUUUGCAGCUCAACUGUAAAAGUGCCUUCGAUACUGGCUUCCUUGAGUGUGGAUGAAGUAGGCGGAAUUUGUGGUGUAGCGGUGAAAUGCAUAGAUAUCACGAGGAACUCCGAUUGCGCAGGCAGCUUACUAAACUACUACUGACGCUCAGGCACGAAGGCGUGGGGAUCAAACAGGAUUAGAUACCCUGGUAGUCCACGCAGUAAACGAUGAUUACUAGCUGUUUGCGAUACAAUGUAAGCGGCUGAGCGAAAGCGUUAAGUAAUCCACCUGGGGAGUACGUUCGCAAGAAUGAAACUCAAAGGAAUUGACGGGG